GCUGCCGUGGCUCAGCUGGUAGAGCGCGUCCUUGGUAAGGACGAGGUCCCGGGUUCGAUCCCCGGCGGCAGCU
rnacentral:tRNA from 3 species